rnacentral:rRNA from 1 species
GGGUUGUGAGGUUAAGCGACUAAGCGUACACGGUGGAUGCCCUGGCAGUCAGAGGCGAUGAAGGACGUGCUAAUCUGCGAUAAGCGUCGGUAAGGUGAUAUGAACCGUUAUAACCGGCGAUUUCCGAAUGGGGAAACCCAGUGUGAUUCGUCACACUAUCAUUAACUGAAUCCAUAGGUUAAUGAGGCGAACCGGGGGAACUGAAACAUCUAAGUACCCCGAGGAAAAGAAAUCAACCGAGAUUCCCCCAGUAGCGGCGAGCGAACGGGGAGCAGCCCAGAGCCUGAAUCAGUGUGUGUGUUAGUGGAAGCGUCUGGAAAGGCGCGCGAUACAGGGUGACAGCCCCGUACACAAAAAUGCACAUACUGUGAGCUCGAUGAGUAGGGCGGGACACGUGGUAUCCUGUCUGAAUAUGGGGGGACCAUCCUCCAAGGCUAAAUACUCCUGACUGACCGAUAGUGAACCAGUACCGUGAGGGAAAGGCGAAAAGAACCCCGGCGAGGGGAGUGAAAAAGAACCUGAAACCGUGUACGUACAAGCAGUGGGAGCACAGAGCAAUCUGUGUGACUGCGUACCUUUUGUAUAAUGGGUCAGCGACUUAUAUUCUGUAGCAAGGUUAACCGAAUAGGGGAGCCGAAGGGAAACCGAGUCUUAACUGGGCGUUAAGUUGCAGGGUAUAGACCCGAAACCCGGUGAUCUAGCCAUGGGCAGGUUGAAGGUUGGGUAACACUAACUGGAGGACCGAACCGACUAAUGUUGAAAAAUUAGCGGAUGACUUGUGGCUGGGGGUGAAAGGCCAAUCAAACCGGGAGAUAGCUGGUUCUCCCCGAAAGCUAUUUAGGUAGCGCCUCGUGAAUUCAUCUCCGGGGGUAGAGCACUGUUUCGGCAAGGGGGUCAUCCCGACUUACCAACCCGAUGCAAACUGCGAAUACCGGAGAAUGUUAUCACGGGAGACACACGGCGGGUGCUAACGUCCGUCGUGAAGAGGGAAACAACCCAGACCGCCAGCUAAGGUCCCAAAGUCAUGGUUAAGUGGGAAACGAUGUGGGAAGGCCCAGACAGCCAGGAUGUUGGCUUAGAAGCAGCCAUCAUUUAAAGAAAGCGUAAUAGCUCACUGGUCGAGUCGGCCUGCGCGGAAGAUGUAACGGGGCUAAACCAUGCACCGAAGCUGCGGCAGCGACGCUUAUGCGUUGUUGGGUAGGGGAGCGUUCUGUAAGCCUGCGAAGGUGUACUGUGAGGUAUGCUGGAGGUAUCAGAAGUGCGAAUGCUGACAUAAGUAACGAUAAAGCGGGUGAAAAGCCCGCUCG